rnacentral:rRNA from 1 species
AUUGAACGCUGGCGGCAGGCCUAACACAUGCAAGUCGAGCGGAUGAAGAGAGCUUGCUCUCUGCUUCAGCGGCGGACGGGUGAGUAAUGCCUAGGAAUCUGCCUGGUAGUGGGGGACAACGUUUCGAAAGGAACGCUAAUACCGCAUACGUCCUACGGGAGAAAGUGGGGGAUCUUCGGACCUCACGCUAUCAGAUGAGCCUAGGUACGAUUAGCUAGUUGGGGAGGUAAAGGCUCACCAAGGCGACGAUCGUUAACUGGUCUGAGAGGAUGAUCAGUCACACUGGAACUGAGACACGGUCCAGACUCCUACGGGAGGCAGCAGUGGGGAAUAUUGGACAAUGGGCGAAAGCCUGAUCCAGCCAUGCCGCGUGUGUGAAGAAGGUCUUCGGAUUGUAAAGCACUUUAAGUUGGGAGGAAGGGCAGUAAGUUAAUACCUUGCUGUUUUGACGUUACCGACAGAAUAAGCACCGGCUAACUUCGUGCCAGCAGCCGCAGUAAGAC